rnacentral:rRNA from 1 species
AUUGAACGCUGGCGGCAGGCCUAAAACAUGCAAGUCGAACGAGUGGCGGACGGGUGAGUAAUGUCUGGGAAACUGCCUGAUGGAGGGGGAUAACUAAUGGAAACGGUAGCUAAUACCGCAUACCAUCAGAUGUGCCCAGAUGGGAUUAGCUAGUUGGUGGGGUAACGUCUCACCAAGGCGACAAUCCCUAGCUUGUCUGAGAGGAUGACCAGCCACACUGGAAUGGAGACACGGUCCAGACUCCUACGUGAGGCAGCAGUGGGGAAUAUUGCACAAUGGGCGCAAGUCUGAUGCAGCCAUGCCGCGUGUAUGAAGAAGGCCUUCGGGUUGUAAAGUCCUUUCAGCGGGGAGGCGUUACCCGCAGAAGAAGCACCGGCUAACUCCGUGCCAGCAGCCGCGGUAAUUC